ensembl:lncRNA
CCACUGUGCCCCAUUAUUACAGAUGAAUUACCCGGGGAAAAUGACAAGUUUUUGGCAAUGAGGAGCCAUAUGGAUCCCGGCCAGGAGAUCAUCGUGCAUCAAGACAAACAGGUUCUCUGGGCCCCAUCCCCUCAGGAAAAAAUACGAUCUUAUCUUGGAAAUACACCAGGCUCCACAGCAAAAGAGCUGCACAAGAGCAGAGAACCCCAGGAAACCCUCAUCACAUGGAGCUGCAAAUUUCACCAGUGUUUCUCAUCUGCUUCUUCAGGGUCAGUCAGCUUCAGAAUUUAACACUGGUGAGCACCCCAACACUUCCAUGUUUGUAUCUCUAGCCCAGCUGGGUCUCAUCUGUAUUCACCUGAAGGGAGCUCACUGAACGUAAAGAGUGUCCCACCUGACCGUGUUUUGGUCCUAAAGUCAUUCCUAUUUACUUUUAUCUGAAAAUGAUCGCUCAAAGUAAAAACAGCUACACGGGCCCAACUAUAAUGACACAGACUUUCCUCCUCUCUAAAUAAAUAUGAACAGGACUAAAACUGAAUAAAAAUAACUGUUCUGUUGAAAAGUCCUG